rnacentral:rRNA from 1 species
AGUGAACGCUGGCGGUAGGCCUAACACAUGCAAGUCGAACGGCAUCACAGUAAGAUCUUGCUCUUACGGGUGGCGAGUGUCGGACGGUUUAGUAAUACAUCGGAAUCUACUUUUUCGUGGGGGAUAACGUAGGGAAACUUACGCUAAUACCGCAUACGACCUACUGGUGAAAGCAUUGGCUCUUCUGACCUUGCGCGAUUUAAUGAGCCGAUGUCGGAUUAGCUAGUUGGCGGGGUAAAGUCCCACCAAGGCGACGAUCCGUAGCUGGUCUGAGAGGAUGAACAGCCACAAAGGAAAUGAGAAACGGACCAGAGUCGUAAGGGAGGCAGGAGGGGGGAAUAAUGGACAAUGGGAGGAAGCCUGAACCAGGCAUAACGAGUGGGUGAAGAAGGGCUUCGGGAUGUAAAGGCCGUUUGGUGGGAAAGAAAAGCAGCAGGUUAAUACCCCGCUGAGCUGACGGUACCCAAAGAAUAAGCACCGGCUAACUUGGU